AAUCAACGCUGGCGGCGUGCCUCAGACAUGCAAGUCGAACGAUUAAACUUUCCUUCGGGAAAGAUAUAAAGUGGCGUACGGGUGAGUAACACGUAAGUAAUCUACCCUCGAGUGGGGAAUAACAAUCGGAAACGAUUGCUAAUACCGCAUAAUGCAGCGGCCCCGUAAGGUGACAGUUGUUAAAGGAUAUAUUCGCUUGAGGAGGAGCUUGCGGCAGAUUAGCUAGUUGGUAAGGUAAUGGCUUACCAAGGCGACGAUCUGUAGCCGGUCUAAGAGGACGGUCGGUCACACUGACACUGAAUAACGGGUCAGACUCCUACGGGAGGCAGCAGUCGGGAAUUUUGGGCAAUGGGCGAAAGCCUGACCCAGCAACGCCGCGUGAAGGAUGAAGUCUUUCGGGAUGUAAACUUCGAAAGAAUAGGAAGAAUAAAUGACGGUACUAUUUAUAAGGUCCGGCUAACUACGUGCCAGCCGCCGCUGUAAAAC
rnacentral:rRNA from 1 species